AUUAACACUCGAUCACUCAUUGCCUCAACAAAGCAUUGGCCUGACUGCAGUCAUUACUCUUACAUUAUUAAGAUGCUUGAUAAUGAAAGAGUGAGAAUAAAUACACUGAUGAGGAACUAGCUCAAAAUGGGGCCAAUCAUUGGGUAAAGGCAUGAUUGGACAUUGUGGUUUUUGGAAUGAAAAUCUGACAGCCUCAUUUCUAAUUCUGUCCAUACUCUAAGGAACCCAUAGUCUUGAGCAUCCAGUAAAUGCCAGAUGAAGCAUGGGGACACUGAGAUAACUAUACUGCUAUAGCUUCUGGUCUUAGGGUACAAAGAAUCUACAGAGAGAGCCACAGGAAAUCCUCAACUAUUCUAAUAAAAAUACAUGUUCAAAAACAAGAAUUGAAGCAAGAGAAGAAUGAUCAGUAAGGGCUUCAUGAAAGAAGAAACCAUUGAGUUUACUUUUACAAUGAAAUAUCUUUGGGGAGAAAAUGUUGGAAACUUGACGCUGAUGUUGAACAACAUGUUAAAAAUUGGCCAACAUCAACCAGUUUGUUUAAUGAGUUUGUUUAACUUCCUUUUAGCUAGGUCUACAUUGAGUUUAACAUGAAAUUGUGGAAAGAGGCCUAACUUUUUAUGGUGUCCACUAUUUGGACCUGGGUGGGCAUACGAUCCAAGACCUCUUAUUGUUCAAAAGU
rnacentral:lncRNA from 10 species